rnacentral:rRNA from 1 species
GCCUAAUACAUGCAAGUCGAACGGGUUUAGACCCGUGGCGAACGGCUGCGUAACACGUUGGUACCUGCCCCGAACUCAGGGAUAACCCUCCGAAAGGAGGGCUAAUACCGGAUAGUCCCGUGAGGGUAAAGAUUUUUCGGUUCGGGAGGGGCCUGCGGCCUAUCAGCUAGUUGGUAAGGUAAUGGCUUACCAAGGCUAUGACGGGUAGCUGGUCUGAGAGGACGACCAGCCAGAAUGGGACUGAGACACGGCCCAUACUCCUACGGGAGGCAGCAGUGAGGAAUCUUCCGCAAUGGGCGAAAGCCUGACGGAGCGACACCGCGUGAAGGAUGAAGCCCUUUCCGGGCGUAAACUUCUGUUCUGAGGGACGAAAUUUUUGACGGUACCUCAGGAGAAAGCAUCGGCUAACCCUGUGCCAGCAGCCGCGGUAAGACAGGGGAUGCAAGCGUUACUCGGAAUUACUGGGCGUAAAGCGUCUGCAGGUGUCUGAGAAAGUCUGUGGUCAAAUGACGGAGCUCAACUCCGUCAGUGCCGUGGAAACUCCUCAGAUUGAGUCAUUCAGAGGCAUCUGGAAUGUCGUGUGGAGGGGUAAAAUCCGUAGAUCCACGAUGGAACGCCGAAAGCGAAGGCAGGAUGCUAGGAAUGUACUGACACUCAGAGACGAAAGCGUGGGGAGCAAAGGGGAUUAGAUACCCCCGUAGUCCACGCCCUAAACGAUGCGGGCUCGGUGUGGGGACUUACAAAUGGUCUCCGUGCCCAAGCUAACGCGGUAAGCCCGCCGCCUGGGAAGUACGGCCGCAAGGCUAAAGCCCAAAGGAAUAGACGGGGACCCACACAAGCGGUGGAACAUGGGGUUUAAUUCGAUGGUAAGCGAAGAGCCUCACCCAGAUUUGACAUCCUAAGAAGCAUCUAGAAAUAGACGCGUGCCGCAAGGAACUUAGAGACAGGCGCUGCACGGUCGUCGUCAGCUCGUGCCUUGAGGUGUACUGUUAAGUCAGCGAACGAGCGCAACCCUUAUCUUGUGUUGUUUUUUCACAAGAGACUGCCGCCUCCAAGGCGGAGGAAGGUAGGGAUGACGUCAGAUCAGCGUGGCCUUUAUAUCUGGGGCGACACCCAUGUUACAAUGGUUAGGACAAAGGGUAGCCAACCCGCGAGGGGGAGCCAAUCCCAUCAAACCUAAUCUCAGUUCGGAUUGAAGUCUGCAACCCGACUUCAUGAAGUUGGAAUCGCUAGUAACCGUGGAUCAGCCACGCCACGGUGAAUAUGUUCCUGGGUCUUGCACACACCGCCCGUCACA